rnacentral:lncRNA from 10 species
CCCAGCACUCGGAGCGGCCAGCCGGCCCCGCGCCCGGGGCAGUGAGGGGCUUAGCACCCGGUCCAGCAGCUGCUGUGCUCGACUUCUCGCCGGGCCUUAGCUGCCUCCCCGCGGGGUACGGCUCGGGACCUGCAGCCCGCCAUGCCUGAGCCUCGCCCCCGCCGUGGGCUCCUGCGCGGCCCGAGGCACCCCAACCAGCGCCACUCCCUGCUCCACGGCGCCCAGUCCCAUCGACCACCCAAGGGCUGAGGAGUGCGGGCGCAGGGCGUGGGACUGGCAGGCAGCUCCACCUGCGGCCCCAGUGCGGGAUCCACUGGGUGAAGCCAGCUGGGCUCCUGAGUCUGGUGGGGACUUGGAGAACCUUUAUGUCUAGCUAAGGGAUUGUAAAUACACCAAUCGGCACUCUAUCUAGCUCAAGUUUUGUAAACACACCAAUCAGCACCCUGUGUCUAGCUCAGGGUUUGUGAAUGCACCAGUCGACACUCUGUAUCUAGCUAAUCUAGUGGGGACGUGGAGAACUUUUGUGUGGACACUGUAUCUAGCUAAUCUAGUGGGGACCUGGAGAACUUCUGUGUCUAGCUCAGGGAUUGUAAACGCACCAAUCAGCACCCUGUCAAAACGGACCAAUCAGCCCUCUGUAAAACAGACCAAUUGGCUCUCUGUAAAGUGGACCAAUCAGCAGGAUAUGGGUGGGGCUAGAUAAGAGAAUAAAAGCAGGCUGCCCGAGCCCUCAGUGGGAACUUGUUCCGGUGCUAUUCCAGUUUGUGGAAGCUUCGUUCUUUUGCUCUUUGCAAGAAAUCUUGCUACUGCUCACUCUUUGGGUCCAUGCUGCCUUUAUGAGCUGUAACACUCACCGUGGAGGUCUGCACCUUCACUCCUGAGCCAGCGGGACCACGAACCCACCAGAAGGAAGAAACUCCCAACAUCAAAACGAACAAACUCUGGACAGGCCACCUUUAAGAACCGUAACACUCAGGCGAGGUUUUGCAGUCUCAUUCUUGGAGUCAGUGAAACCAAGAACCCACCAAUUCCGGACACGGUCUGUUUCUCUAACAUCGUGAGUCCAUAGAGAGAACAUGGGCAGCUGAGUUGAAAAUGAAAAUGUUAAGAAUACUGAAAUAGUAGAUGAAACAAAUUGGCCCCAACUCAGAUAACCUAAAUGAGAAGGUAGAUUUAGGGAUCUCCCCUCAGAUUCCACUGUGACACAAAGCUAGGAAAGGUAUCUGGAAUCUCUCUACUACCGAACUAUUUGCUCAAAGAUGAAAUAAUGCCAAGACUCCAUUCUACUUCCUACAACCCAAGAGAGCUUAAACUGAAUGAAGCACUGACCAGCCACUUCCAGAACAACAUGAGCCACCACGGAAGCACCAGAAUUCUUGAAUAAAACACAUUGACCAUCUCAUCUCAUCAAUAUCUCAUAUCUUCUUUUUCUAAAAGGAAGUCAUCAGAAGUGAGGAAAACUUAGAAAAUAAAUGAGAAACAUACCACUGUAAUAUUGAAUAAAAA